AAUUAAUUUUACUUUAACAAUUGAGGCACUGGUAGACUUCCAUAGUGCUUUAAAAUUGUUACUGUAUCGAUAAAACAUUGUGUUUAACUGAUGCCUACAGAGCAGGGGUUGUCAACCAGGGGUACGUGUACCCCUGGGGGUACUCUGAAAGGUUCCAGGGGGUACGUGAGGGCAAACAGGGAUGGAGCACCACCACCCCACACCACUGCCUCACAGCAACAGGGCUGGGGUGGGGCAAGAGCAGGGCCGCACAGACACUGCACUGCCGCCGCUCCGCCACUUGUCACAACCCUGCUCCGUGUCCAGCUGUUCUCCCCCCUCCUCCCUGCCCCCCAGGGGUACACUUAUUAAAAAAAGUUGAAACCCCCUGCUAAAGAGAGAGGGUCUCACAGGGCACUAAGACGUGCCUGCUCCUUUAAAGGCAGAAGCAGCCUAGCCAGGGAGCCCUGCAGCUAGGCAGAGCACCACAGCUGCAGGUUGCCUGAGCCGCAGGCUAAUGAGGUAAUUAGCACAACCUGCAGGCAGUCAGCUGAAGGAUGGAGGCAGGGUCCUGGGCACAUAUAAACCCAAGGCUGGGGUAGGUAGGGAUUAGUUUUCUGGCAACUGCCAGGGGAAUAAGCUCCUGCAGAUGGGUGAUUGCCUGCUUUGCUACUUACAGGAGCAGUGAGGCACCAGCAGCCCACAAGGUGGCUCAUGAAGUUGGCAUAUGGAGGAGCCAUAUUUGUACCCAUAACUGUGCCUGUUUUGGAGGAAGUGUUAAUUGUUGAAAGUGAAGCUGAGUGAGGAUGAAGUGGAUAUGUUGUGCAACAUGUUGUAAACCUGUGUGUACUAAAUAUUCACCCCCUAGAUGCCUACAGCAUUUCCUGGAACAGAUCAUCUGCAGUUUCACAGUUCACAGAAUACUCAGGCCUACAACAGUUCCACCCCUUGGCAGAUCUUAGCAUUCAGACGUGUACGGACCCCUGAGGAAAGUGUGAAUCAGUACA